GAGAGAUAUGCACAGCUGCUUGCUCCCCCAGUAGGGAAGAGGAAGAGGAAGAGUAAAGAAUACGAAGAGUGUUCAGUGCCAUAAUGAGGAAAGAAAAAAAAAAACAUUUGGACAUUUAAGUAGGUAGAUGUCUUCAAGGUUCUUCUAUUCACUCUACAG